ACCUUAAAAAUAGUUAUGUACCCCUGUUUAGUGUGGAAGCGGGAGGAUCGCUUGAGCCCAGGAGUUCUGGGCUAUAGUAUGCACUGCUGAUCAGGUGUCUGCACGAAGUUUGGUAUCAAUAUGAUGAGCUCCGUGGAGCAGAGGACCACUAGAGUGCCUAAAGAGAGGUGAACUAGCCCAAUCCAGAAAGUGAGCAGGUCAAAACUUUCAUCUGAUCAGUAGGGGUAUCACACCUGUGAAUAGCCACUGUACUCCAGCUUGGGCAAAAUAGCAAGAUCCUGUCUCA
rnacentral:SRP_RNA from 1 species